GCACCUGCAUCCCCCCGAUUCCCAAUCUCCAUCCCGCAACCCGCAUGCCUCUCUAGUCUCUUAGAGUUCUGGUUGAGAGUGCAGACUUCCCCUCUGUCAGAGAGUUCCCGCAACCCGCAUGCGUAUCUAGUCUCUGAGAGUUCUGGUUGAGAGUGCAGACUGCCCCUCUCUCAGAGAGUUCUGCUUCUGUGCCUGCGCCGCAUCCUCGAUUCCCCAUCUGCGCCUUCUCCAUUGAUGUGUGUGCCUUUGCCUUGACUGUGAAUUGUGACAGCGACGCCA
rnacentral:misc_RNA from 1 species